rnacentral:rRNA from 1 species
GCCAGACUCCUACGGGAGGCAGCAGUGGGGGAUAUUGCACAAUGGGGGGAACCCUGAUGCAGCGACGCCGCGUGGGUGAAGGAGUAUUUCGGUAUGUAAAGCCCUAUCGGCAGGGAAGAAGAAAGACGGUACCUGACUAAGAAGCCCCGGCUAACUACGUGCCAGCAGCCGCGGUAAUACGUAGGGGGCGAGCGUUAUCCGGAUUCACUGGGUGUAAAGGGAGCGUAGACGGCCAAACAAGCCAGGGGUGAAAGCCCGGGGCCCAACCCCGGGACUGCCCUUGGAACUGCAUGGCUGGAGUGCGGGAGGGGCAGGCGGAAUUCCUGGUGUAGCGGUGAAAUGCGUAGAUAUCAGGAGGAACACCGGCGGCGAAGGCGGCUUACUGGACGGCAACUGACGCUGAGGCUCGAAAGCGUGGGGAGCAAACAGGAUUAGAUACCCGAGUAA